AGGUCUGGCUGUAGCUCAGUGGUUGAGCAUCUGCCUUGUAGGCAGAAGCUCCCAAGUUCAGUUCCUGGCACCCCCA